rnacentral:rRNA from 1 species
CUGGAAACGGAUGCUAAAACCGGAUAGGUAGCAGACAAGCAUUUGACUGCUAUUAAAGUGGCUAAGGCCAUGAACAUGGAUGGACCUGCGGUGCAUUAGCUAGUUGGUGAGGUAACGGCCCACCAAGGCGACGAUGCAUAGCCGGCCUGAGAGGGCGGACGGCCACAUUGGGACUGAGACACGGCCCAAACUCCUACGGGAGGCAGCAGUAGGGAAUUUUCGUCAAUGGGGGGAACCCUGAACGAGCAAUGCCGCGUGAGUGAGGAAGGUCUUCGGAUCGUAAAGCUCUGUUGUAAGAGAAAAACGGCACUCAUAGGGAAUGAUGAGUGAGUGAUGGUAUCUUACCAGAAAGUCACGGCUAACUACGUGCCAGCAGCCGCGGUAAUACGUAGGUGGCGAGCGUUAUCCGGAAUGAUUGGGCGUAAAGGGUGCGUAGGUGGCAGAUCAAGUCUGGAGUAAAAGGUAUGGGCUCAACCCGUACUUGCUCUGGAAACUGAUCAGCUAGAGAACAGAAGAGGACGGCGGAACUCCAUGUGUAGCGGUAAAAUGCGUAGAUAUAUGGAAGAACACCGGUGGCGAAGGCGGCCGUCUGGUCUGGAUUCUGACACUGAAGCACGAAAGCGUGGGGAGCAAAUAGGAUUAGAUACCCUAGUAGUCCACGCCGUAAACGAUGAGAACUAGGUGUUGGGGGAAUAACUCAGUGCCGCAGUUAACGCAAUAAGUUCUCCGCCUGGGGAGUAUGCACGCAAGUGUGAAACUCAAAGGAAUUGACGGGGGCCCGCACAAGCGGUGGAGUAUGUGGUUUAAUUCGAAGCAACGCGAAGAACCUUACCAGGCCUUGACAUCCCUUGCAGAGGUAUAGAGAUAUAUCCGAGGUUAUCAAGGAGACAGGUGGUGCAUGGUUGUCGUCAGCUCGUGUCGUGAGAUGUUGGGUUAAGUCCCGCAACGAGCGCAACCCUUGUGAUAUGUUACUAACAUUGAGUUGAGGACUCAUAUCAGACUGCCGGUGAUAAACCGGAGGAAGGUGGGGAUGACGUCAAAUCAUCAUGCCCCCUAUGGCCUGGGCUACACACGUACUACAAUGGCGUCUACAAAGAGCGGCAAGCCUGUGAAGGCAAGCGAAUCUCAUAAAGGACGUCUCAGUUCGGAUUGAAGUCUGCAACCCGACUUCAUGAAGCUGGAAUCGCUAGUAAUCGCGAGUCAGCAUGUCGCGGUGAAUAAAAGGUCGGGCCUUGCACA